rnacentral:rRNA from 1 species
UACGUAGGCAGCGAGCGUUGUUCGGAAUUACUGGGCGUAAAGCGUGUGUAGGCGGUGCUCUAAGUUCGGUGUGAAAUCUCUCGGCUUAACUGGGAGGGUGCGCCGGAAACUGGAGUGCUCGAACGUGGGAGAGGAAAGCGGAAUUCCUGGUGUAGCGGUGAAAUGCGUAGAUAUCAGGAGGAACACCUGCGGUGUAGACGGCUUUCUGGACCAUUGUUGACGCUCAGACACGAAAGCGUGGGUAGCAAACAGG